GAUGAACGCUGGCGGCGUGCCUAAUACAUGCAAGUCGAGCGAACAGACGAGGAUCUUGCUCCUCUGACGUUAGCGGCGGACGGGUGAGUAACACGUGGAUAACCUACCUAUAAGACUGUGAUAACUUCGGGAAACCGGAGCUAAUACCGGAUAAUAUAUUGAACCGCAUGGUUCAAUAGUGAAAGACGGUUUUGCUGUCACUUAUAGAUGGAUCCGCGCCGCAUUAGCUAGUUGGUAAGGUAACGGCUUACCAAGGCGACGAUGCGUAGCCGACCUGAGAGGGUGAUAGGCCACACUGGAACUGAGCCACGGUCCAGACUCCUACGGGAGGCAGCAGUAGGGAAUCUUCCGCAAUGGGCGAAAGCCUGACGGAGCCACGCCGCGUGAGUGAUGAAGGUCUUCGGAUCUUAAAACUCUGUUAUUAGGGAAGAACAAAUGUGUAAGUAACUAUGCACGUCUUGACGGUACCUAAUCAGAAAGCCACGGCUAACUACGUG
rnacentral:rRNA from 1 species